GCCACCGUCGCAUAACUCGGUAUUGCGCAGGUCUUGAAAACCUGUCCCUCUGGGAUUGCCGGUUCAAAUCCGGCCGGUGGCG
rnacentral:tRNA from 1 species